UACGUAGGGUGCGAGCGUUAAUCGGAAUUACUGGGCGUAAAGCGUGCGCAGGCGGCUUCGCAAGUCAGACGUGAAAGCCCCGGGCUUAACCUGGGAAUGGCGUUUGAAACUACGGAGCUGGAGUGUGGCAGAGGGAGGUAGAAUUCCACGUGUAGCGGUGAAAUGCGUAGAUAUGUGGAGGAACACCAAUGGCGAAGGCAGCUCGCUGGGACGUGACUGACGCUGAGACGCGAAAGCGUGGGGAGCAAACAGG
rnacentral:rRNA from 1 species